rnacentral:rRNA from 1 species
UACGUAGGGGGCUAGCGUUGUUCGGAAUCACUGGGCGUAAAGGGCGCGUAGGCGGCUUUAUAAGUCGGGGUGAAAGCCUGUGGCUCAACCACAGAAUUGCCUUCGAUACUGUAGAGCUUGAGACCGGAAGAGGUAAGUGGAACUGCGAGUGUAGAGGUGAAAUUCGUAGAUAUUCGCAAGAACACCAGUGGCGAAGGCGGCUUACUGGUCCGGUUCUGACGCUGAGGCGCGAAAGCGUGGGGAGCAAACAGG